rnacentral:sRNA from 1 species
CGCCGCUGGCCAAGGGCGGCAGGAAGAAGAAGAAGAAGAAGGGUUCAGACGACGAGGCCUUCGAGGACAGCGAUGAUGGGGACUUCGAGGGCCAAGAGGUGGACUACAUGUCAGACGGCUCCAGCAGCUCCCAAGAAGAGCCUGAGAGCAAGGCCAAGGCACCGCAGCAGGAGGAGGGGCCCAAGGGUAGGCGAUGGCUGGGCGGGCCGGGGAGAUGGGGGCGGUGCUUCCCUGCUCUUGCUCAUACCCUGCCCCUCCCAGGUGUCGAUGAGCAGAGCGACAGUAGUGAGGAGAGUGAGGAGGAGAAGCCGCCUGAGGAGGAAAAGGAGGAGGAGGAGGAGAAGAAGGCGCCCACCCCGCAGGAGAAGAAGCGCAGGAAAGACAGCAGCGAGGAGUCGGACAGCUCAGAGGAGAGCGACAUUGACAGUGAGGCCUCCUCAGCCCUCUUCAUGGCGGUAAGGCCCAGCCCGGUGGCGGGGGAGGCCUGGGCGUCUGUUUGCAGACUCACCCACCUCACCCAACCCUGACCUCCGCAGAAGAAGAAGACGCCACCCAAGAGAGAGCGGAAGCCGUCGGGAGGGAGCUCAAGGGGCAACAGCCGCCCAGGCACACCCAGCGCAGAGGGUGGCAGCACCUCCUCCACCCUGCGGGCGGCUGCCAGCAAACUCGAGCAAGGGAAGCGGGUGAGCGAGAUGCCUGCAGCCAAGCGGUUGCGGCUGGACGCGGGACCCCAGAGCCUGUCCGGGAAGUCGACACCCCAGCCACCAUCAGGCAAGACAACACCCAGCAGCGGGUGACUGAGGAUGCCGUGCGCCGCUACCUGACACGGAAGCCCAUGACCACUAAGGACCUGCUGAAAAAGUUCCAGACCAAGAAGACAGGGCUGAGCAGCGAGCAGACAGUGAACGUGCUGGCCCAGAUCCUCAAGCGACUCAACCCCGAGCGCAAGAUGAUCAACGACAAAAUGCACUUCUCCCUCAAGGAGUGAGGCUUGGUCCAAUACAUGGCUCUGCCCCCCAGAACUUAAGGCUCUCACUGCCCCUUCGCCAUCCUGGAGUGAGGCUCUGUCCAAUACAUGG